UGGUGAAUUCCAGAUGCUGGUGUUGAAGCCUGUUUAUCAUUGCUCCCUUUCUUAUUGCCACUAAGUGUGGAAGCACCUGUUCCUGCCUCUGUGGACUGCAAUCUCUCAGACUCCUAACUGCAACCAUGGAAGUGUAACAAAUGGCGUUUGGUCUGUCUCUACCUCCACACAUGACUUGUGAAGAAGAUUGCUCUCUUCUCAGAGGCACCUGCCCAUGAUGGGAAUACUGUGACACCUGAACAGGCAAAUUGGCUGGACUGCAGCUGUGGUAUUUUCUCUCUGGAGGUUUAUUCUCCAUAGGAAAACAGUGGCCAAUUGAUGUCUCCAUAAAGCAAUAUUACCAGAAAGCAUACAGUGCAUAACUGCAUGGAGAUCCCACUCCAGGGGAAUAUAUAGAAACCUUCAGCAUGGGCUUAAAAACUAUAGAAAACAGACACCUUGCUAUUUGAUACAUGGAUGAAGAUGCUAUUUGCUUGAGGGAGUCUACCUGAACUUUAUGCAACAUUAAUCUUGACAUCCCUCUCCCGUCUGUUUCAUUUGUAAGUCAAAAGCUUGAAUCUGAAACCCACUAUAUAACAACUUACCCUGACCCUUGCCUGUAAU
rnacentral:lncRNA from 1 species